rnacentral:rRNA from 1 species
GAUGAACGCUAGCGGCAGGCUUAACACAUGCAAGUCGAGGGGUAACAGGAGUGCUUGCACUCGCUGACGACCGGCGCACGGGUGCGUAACGCGUAUAGAACUUACCUUUUACAGAGGGAUAGCCUUUAGAAAUGAAGAUUAAUACCUCAUAGUAUUGAGACUCGGCAUCGAGACUCACUUAAAGAUUUAUCGGUAAAAGAUGGCUAUGCGUCCUAUUAGUUAGUUGGUAAGGUAACGGCUUACCAAGGCAGCGAUAGGUAGGGGUCCUGAGAGGGAGAUCCCCCACACUGGUACUGAGACACGGACCAGACUCCUACGGGAGGCAGCAGUGAGGAAUAUUGGGCAAUGGAGGCAACUCUGACCCAGCCAUGCCGCGUGCAGGAAGACUGCCCUAUGGGUUGUAAACUGCUUUUAUACAGGAAGAAACACUGCUACGUGUAGCAGCUUGACGGUACUGUAAGAAUAAGGACCGGCUAACUCCGUG